UUAUCCGGAUUUAUUGGGUUUAAAGGGAGCGUAGGCGGACGCUUAAGUCAGUUGUGAAAGUUUGCGGCUCAACCGUAAAAUUGCAGUUGAUACUGGGUGUCUUGAGUACAGUAGAGGCAGGCGGAAUUCGUGGUGUAGCGGUGAAAUGCUUAGAUAUCACGAAGAACUCCGAUUGCGAAGGCAGCUUGCUGGACUGUAACUGACGCUGAUGCUCGAAAGUGUGGGUAUCAAACAGGAUUAGAUACCCUGGUAGUCCACACAGUAAACGAUGAAUACUCGCUGUUUGCGAUAUACAGUAAGCGGCCAAGCGAAAGCGUUAAGUAUUCCACCUGGGGAGUACGCCGGCAACGGUGAAACUCAAAGGAAUUGACGGGGGCCCGCACAAGCGGAGGAACAUGUGGUUUAAUUC
rnacentral:rRNA from 1 species